GACGAACGCUGGCGGCGUGCUUACCUCAUGCAAGCCGAACGCAGUGGCGAACGGGUGAGUAAUACGUGGGUAACCUGCCCUCCUUUUUGGGAUAAGCCUUGGAAACGGGGUCUAAUACCGAAUAAAGGGGGAUGGGCUCGCGGCCUAGCAGCUUGUUGGAUGGGUGAUGGCCUACCAAGGCGGUGACGGGUAGCCGGCAUGAGAGGGUGAUCGGCCACAUUUGGACUGUGAUACGGCCCAGGCUCCUACGGGUGGCUGCAGUUGGGGAUAUUGCACAAUGGGCGAAAGCCUGAUGCAGCGACGCCGCGUGGGGGAUGUAUGCUUUCGGGUUGUAAACCUCUUUCGCUACCGAACAGGUAGAUGAGAAAGAAGCACCUGCUAAAUACGUGCCAGCAGCCGCGGUAAUAC
rnacentral:rRNA from 1 species